rnacentral:lncRNA from 1 species
ACAAUUUUAUCAUUUUAUUUCUUUUCUUAAUAUACGUAAAAAAUCUACCAUAACUUUUAUCGUGGACGGAGGGAGUAUUAAAUAAGAGUAGUAUUUCAACUAGUGCAUGGCAUGCACCAUACAAGAAAAGAUACAAUAGCUAGAGUUUAAUGAGUAAACUACAUUCCGAACCAUAGAGUCCGGAAGGGAUACUCUUUAGUUUGUACCCGAUAAGGAUAAUAAUAACUAAUAGAGGGGACUUUAAGAGCAAAUAUAUAUAUAUAUAUAUAUAUAUAUAUAUAUAUAUAUNN